UUAUUGUGUGGCUGUUGCAUGCUGUACUUGCUACACAAGACCUCGCAUGAGUGUGUAUAUAUAUGUGAGCGUGAAUGUGUAUGUGUGAAAAGGACAGAAAACACCUUAGUUUGCACCGAGAGACCAUUUGCAGCGGGUGGUCGGCUCCUGUAGGCUUGGCUUGAGGAGACACACAAAGAGAAGAGAGAGAGAAAUACACACAGCAGGAGAUUCUGAAUCAGCAGAUCCAUUGUAAGACAGAGAGAGUGGGGAUCAGAGAGAGAAUCAAAAGUGUCCCAAGAGACUUUUCUGAUCAAUUCCAGUUUCUGCAGCAUAUUUGGCAAUGAUAAACGUUUUAAUCCCUUCUCAGAGGUGUUUUGAACGAUGAGUGGAUAAAUGUGAUGACCGCAAACAAAAACGAUUUCCUACAGUGGAUCCGACUUUAUGACGCAGGUUCGAAAGGUAAGAAUUG